UCAGGCUUCAGGAAGACGGAGCGACUGCAGCUGGUUCGGUUUUACGCAGAUGAUGCUGCAGAUUGACGUCUGUGGAUGAGCUGGAGGCCCGGCGCCGUUUUGACUCCAGGACGCUGCUGGAAGUCCACCUGAGGCUCCGCCUCCUUCAGAGAACGAGCAGUUGCGGGGAGGAAGGAGACGCUCGCCGAACUUCAUCUGCGAGCAGAGCUCCCUUCAUGCUCCGGCAGCUCAGAAAAUACUCUGAAUGUAAAGAAGUCCAUCCGGCGGCUGUCCUCCGCCGCUCAUCAGGCGCUCUCGAGGCGUCUCCGUUCUCUCCACAAGCCUGUGGUUUUGUUUUUGAGCAGCGCCCGCGCGUGUCACGCCGCUGCUGUGAUCCGGCGUAUCGGCGUGCGUUCACUCCGGUGGAUUUGCGGCGCCGGAGCGACACUGAAACCUUCUGAAGCCGUCGGCCUCGGUAUCUGCUCGGCGCAGAAACGAGCGAGCCGCGGUGUUCAGGCUCCACGUGACCCCGGCGACCCGGCUUUUCCGUGGCGUGGUGCGCGCACCGACACACAAACGGCGAGUUCCUCUCCGAGGUUUGUAACAAGAAAAGCAGCUGCAGGGAAGAAGCAAACUCCUGAACUUUAGCCUGAAACUCAGACGCCGUGACCUCAGCUCUUAUCGCGGCCAAACAGGAAGCGCUUUUUAUUAAAGAUUAUUACAGCUGAAAAUCCGUUUCUGUGUGAGGUUCAAAGGUCGCCUCCCUAAAUCAGGUUGAGCAGGAUAUGAUGGUGACGGAUGAUUCUGAUCUGCCGCUAAAGCUUUAAAGCUGCCUCUCAGUCUGUGACCGAGCCGCUCUGAUCAGACUGCUGAUGGCGUCCGGCGAGGACGCCGAUAAAGCGCUUUCAUUCAACCGUCACCGAGCAGCAGGGAGGAUGGUAAACGGGAGCAGUUUCCACGCUCUGUUGGCUCUGACGGUCCGUUUACACCAGCCUGACGGUCUGUGAGCUUUAAAUGCAGAUAAAUAAAGGUAAACUUGUCAAAAUGUCUGUCCAUCUGUCUGUGUUUCAGCUCGUCGUAGUUAG
rnacentral:lncRNA from 1 species